UUUGCUGGCGACCGGCGCACGGGUGAGUAACACGUAUCCAACCUGCCGAUAACUCGGGGAUAGCCUUUCGAAAGAAAGAUUAAUACCCGAUGGCAUAAUUAGACCGCAUGGUCUUAUUAUUAAAGAAUUUCGGUUAUCGAUGGGGAUGCGUUCCAUUAGGCAGUUGGUGAGGUAACGGCUCACCAAACCUUCGAUGGAUAGGGGUUCUGAGAGGAAGGUCCCCCACAUUGGAACCGAGACACGGUCCAA
rnacentral:rRNA from 1 species